UACGGGGGGGGCAAGCGUUGUUCGGAAUUACUGGGCGUAAAGGGCGCGUAGGCGGUGCUCUAAGUUAGAUGUGAAAACUCUGGGCUCAACCCAGAGCCUGCAUCUAAAACUGGAGUGCUAGAGUUCGUGGAGGGGGUAGCGGAAUUCCUGGUGUAGCGGUGAAAUGCGUAGAUAUCAGGAGGAACACCGGUGGCGAAGGCGGCUACCUGGACAGAAACUGACGCUGGAGGCGCGAAAGCUAGGGGAGCAAACAGG
rnacentral:rRNA from 1 species